UACGAAGGGGGGCUAGCGUUGUUCGGAAUUACUGGGCGUAAAGCGCACGUAGGCGGAUAUUUAAGUCAGGGGUGAAAUCCCAGAGCUCAACUCUGGAACUGCCUUUGAUACUGGGUAUCUUGAGUAUGGAAGAGGUAAGUGGAAUUGCGAGUGUAGAGGUGAAAUUCGUAGAUAUUCGCAGGAACACCAGUGGCGAAGGCGGCUUACUGGUCCAUAACUGACGCUGAG
rnacentral:rRNA from 1 species